rnacentral:rRNA from 1 species
CCCUUAGAUGUCCUGGGCUGCACGCGCGCUACACUGGAAGUUACGGAUUGAGAUACUACCUUGUCCGAAAUGGUCCGGGUAAUCACCUAAAAGCUUGUCAUAAUUGGAAUGGAUUAUUGUAACUAGUAAUCCUGAACGAGGAAUUCCUAGUAAGUCCCAGUCAACAGCUGGUACUGAUUACGUCCCUGCCCUUUGUACACACCGCCCGUCACUACUACUGAUUGGACGUUUAAGCAAGAUUUUUAAACACUGACAGUGUGUAGUUCACGCUAUACUACAGUGAGAAGAAGAAGAUCGAGCUUACUUGUCUAGAGGAAGUAAAAGUCGUAACA